rnacentral:tRNA from 1 species
CGAGGUUGUAGUUUAAUAAAAAUAUGAGCAUUGGAAGCUUAAGAUUAGGUAAAAACCUAUACCUCGA